rnacentral:rRNA from 1 species
GACGAACGCUGGCGGCGUGCCUAAUACAUGCAAGUCGAACGCAGUGGGGACGGGUGAGUAACACGUGGGUAACCUCCCAUCAGAGGGGAUAACACUUGGAAACAGGUGCUAAACCGAUACUGAUGGAUGGCCCAGCGUUGCUUUAGCUAGUUGGUGGGGUAACGGCUCACCAAGGCCACGCUGCAUAGCCGACCUGGGGGGGUGAUCGGCCACACUGGGACUGAGCCACGGCCCGGACUCCUACGGGAGGCAGCAGUAGGGAAUCUUCGGCAAUGGACGAAAGUCUUACCGAGCAACGCCGCGUGAAUGAAGAAGGUUUUCGGAUCGUAAAAUUCUGUUGUUAGAAAAGCGGUAUCUAACCAGAAAGCCACGGCUAACUACGUGCCAGCAGCCGCGGUAAUUC